GGGGCUGACAGGUUUCGACGUCAGAUUCGAUGUUCGAGCGUGCGACUCGAGUUGCUCAGACUCGUAAAACGGGGCAAAAAAAUAACUGCCAACAAGCAGUUCGCUCUCGCCGCCUAAUUAAGUGGCAGAGAGCAACCGUGAGCCGCAAGGUCGCACGGGGCCAAUUCACCGCAGCCCGGCAACAGAAGCGGGGAAUGACAUUGGGAAAGACCGAUGACGUCGAGAAAGACCGAUGACCGUGCAGAAAGUUGCACCGCGACUUGUGCACCUAGUGCACUUGUAACCGACCCGUCGGCGUUGCUGCGUAGCGACAUUACGGGAAUAGUCGUAUCACGGGCGCUCAACGGCUGAUGGACGGGGGUUCGAUUCCCCCCAGCUCCACCA
rfam:Acidimicrobium sp. BACL17 MAG-120823-bin4 contig00774_1_120823-bin4, whole genome shotgun sequence.